CCCGCUGAACUUAAGCAUAUUAAUAAGCGGAGGAAAAGAAACCAACAGGGAUUCCCUUAGUAGCGGCGAGCGAAGCGGGAAGAGCCCAAGCUCUGAAUCUGGGCGCGCGUCAAGUUUCGUGCCCCGAAUUGUGGUCUCGUGGCAAGGCAUCGCUGGAGCGACUGCGUUGGGCAAAAGUCCCUUGGAAAAGGGCGCCAGGGAGGGUGACAGCCCCGUCCAUUGGUCCAACGAUUCAGCCGUUCCGAUCACGCGUAGUUGCUCUUGCCCCAGAGUCGGGUUGUUUGGGAAUGCAGCCCUAAGCGGGUGGUAAAUCCCACCCAAGGCUAAAUAUUGACAGCGAGAGACCGAUAGCGAACAAGUACCGUGAGGGAAAGGUGAAAAGGACUUUGAAAAGAGAGUCAAAAGUGCUUGAAAUUGUUAGGAGGGAAGCGAUCGGCACCGGCGGUUCGCUUAUUUUACUCUCGGGCUGUUCAGUGAUGCCGCCGUCAGAAGGGCUUGCAGAAGCAAGGAGCGUGUCAAAAGCGCCUUUGCUCUGUGUCCAUCUUCUGGCGCGAGUCAUGCAUUCAGUCUGAGGAGCGAGCCAGCAUCGGCUUCGUAUUUUAGAGUGGUGACUGAUGGGCAUCAGGGCUAGGGCCUGGUGGGCUGGCCUCACGGCUGUGUCCCACCAGCGCGACCUGGUGAUCCCUGUCAUCAUGGAGGCCGAGGAACCGACAACCCAUGUCCGCAAGGGCGAGGCACUGCGUCAUCAUGGCGGGCUCACGUGUGAGGAUCGGGAACCGAUGCUCGUGCGGCGUAGUCUGUCGUUUGUGGCGUGGGUCCAUCUACGGUGGGUUAGUGGAUGCUGGCGGAACGGUGCUGAUCGACCCGUCUUGAAACACGG
rnacentral:rRNA from 1 species